CGAACUUGUCCGAAGUUAUGACGUCACGCUAACCAUGACGUCAUCUAAACUUUGGACAGUCAGCCGGGUGUACUGAUCAGGUCGCGUAUUCCUAGGAAGAUGUCGCCUAGCUUGACUUUGGCGAUAUAUAUACUCCACUACGCGUCUACAAGUUUUCUGUGUUACGUUCAAAUGUCUCAACUGUCAUUUCUAGAACCUUUCUUCUAAUGUUCUCAUCUUCUUAGACGUCACAAUCUGACGUUUACGUCACUAACUCAGGUGUUUUCGUAAUUCGAAACCGGAAUGCGUUCUUCGAACGGUGUCGUUUUUCAGUCUAACAGUUUGAAACCGUGUGGCGAUGAAGUCGCCACGGCUACUUUUUAGUCCGUGUCUUUGACGAAAUAGACUUUUUUUAACGGGGGAUUUACGGACAAUAUUAUAUCAUAUCAUGUCGUGCAGUAAAUCUUUGAAGGCUACAGAUCUCCAUUCGUCUUGGAAAGUCGAGUUUGACUGGAAGGAUUUUCCGGAAGAACUUGUUCAGGGAUGUUGUGCUGUUGCAUCUGUUUUGUGCGUGCCAACGGUGGCUGUUUUAUAUAGCCUUAUCACGGUCGCGGCUUUUGCUGUAAGCCAUGCACAAGUCUCUCCACCUGACACCAAAUGGAGGAAAAAUGUUCUUCUGUGGACAGCCAUCUGUCUGCCAACAGGCGCUGGGAAAUCUACUAUCUGUAAAUGGAUUCAAGAACUUAUGACAGAUGUUUACACGAAGUUGCGGAA